CUCUUAUCCUGAGUGGCGGAGGGACAUGGACCCAAUGAAGCCCAGCAACCUCUUCUUAAUUGAAGAAAGGUGCCAAACCGUUUGCAGACAAAUAGCGUCUGAACGAUAAGAG
rnacentral:ncRNA from 23 species